rnacentral:lncRNA from 1 species
CUAGGAUUCAUUUGCAUAAGAAGCCUUGCAAAGUAAGAUAGGCUUUCACUUCAGUGCACACACAGGGCAUCCAUCAAGAUUUCUGAGAUUAUAUAAAGAAAGAACAGAGAGAAGAGGAAGACCAGAUGGUUCACAGGUGGGGAAAACUGUGGCUACUUCUCCAGUGUGGCCAGGCUGCUGGCCCUGCCAUUCUCUGCUGUUGACUGAGUGGAGGAGGGGAUCUUGAGUAAGAUAUGCUGGCAGGAGCAGGAAAUAAAACAGAGUCCAGGAUGGCAAAAUCCCAACAGAGGCAAAAUCCUGAUAGAUGCAGCUUCCAGCCUCACUGCACCCAAAUUUGAAUUUGUAAAGACAGGCCACAAUUAUCCUCAGCAGCCAAGACAUUUAAGGUCAUUUCAAUGCUACUCGAGGCAAAGCAGUAGCAUUUUUGUCCUGGACUGACUGUUUUGAUGCUGCUUUAUUCCUCCCAGCUUGGCUUCUCAAUCUGACUCUGCAGCUUUUCACUUCUUUACAGGGCGUGAGUGUGUCACCAGCAGACAAGCACACAGGGCACAGUGUCUUCUCCACCCAUUCUUUACCUGUCUGCAAAGUUGGUCAAGUCCCUGAGUCUGGAGGUGGCCCGAGAUGAGCCCAGGAAUGAUUCAGACUGUAACAUAACUUGGCCUCCUCUCCCCUCUGCCUAAAGAAUGGGGGCAGGACUCAACAGGAAUGGGUGCAUUUUCUGGUUAGGUUUCAGCCUUCUGAUGGGACAGUCUCUCCCCCUUAGGAAGCUGGAGUUGGCUAAUGGAGCCCAGCUGGGUAGUGAGGUCUGGGCUCCUAGCUACCCUGGUUGAAUCCCAGAUCCAGCUCUUGACUAGCUGUGCAGCUUUACAGGGGAAACUUCCCUGGGCUUAGUUACAUUCUCUGUGUAAUGAAGAGCAAUAUCAGUAUGAAUAAAAUGGUUGUGAGAAGUAAUUGAGUUGUAGAACCUGUGAGUAGAGAUAUAGAGGAUUAUGAAAAUAUGAAAUGUUGAGAACAGUUUCUCACCAUAGGAAUCACUCAGUAAAGACUAGCUGUCUGGGGCCAGGGUUGUGGCUCAGCGGCAGAGCGCUCGUCUAG